rnacentral:rRNA from 1 species
AUUGAACGCUGGCGGCAUGCCUUACACAUGCAAGUCGAACGGCAGCGGACCUUCGGGUGCCGGCGAGUGGCGAACGGGUGAGUAAUAUAUCGGAACGUACCUUUCAGUGGGGGAUAACGUAGCGAAAGUUACGCUAAUACCCGCAUAUUCUGUGAGCAGGAAAGCAGGGGAUCGCAAGACCUUGCGCUGAUUGAGCGGCCGAUAUCAGAUUAGCUAGUUGGUGAGGUAAAGGCUCACCAAGGCGACGAUCUGUAGCGGGUCUGAGAGGAUGAUCCGCCACACUGGAACUGAGACACGGUCCAGACUCCUACGGGAGGCAGCAGUGGGGAAUUUUGGACAAUGGGCGCAAGCCUGAUCCAGCCAUGCCGCGUGAGUGAAGAAGGCCUCGGUUGUAAGACUCUUUC